AUUGAACGCUGGCGGCAUGCCUUACACAUGCAAGUCGAACGGUAACAGGUCUUCGGAUGCUGACGAGUGGCGAACGGGUGAGUAAUACAUCGGAACGUGCCCGAUCGUGGGGGAUAACGAAGCGAAAGCUUUGCUAAUACCGCAUACGAUCUACGGAUGAAAGCAGGGGACCGCAAGGCCUUGCGCGAACGGAGCGGCCGAUGGCAGAUUAGGUAGUUGGUGGGAUAAAAGCUUACCAAGCCGACGAUCUGUAGCUGGUCUGAGAGGACGACCAGCCACACUGGGACUGAGACACGGCCCAGACUCCUACGGGAGGCAGCAGUGGGGAAUUUUGGACAAUGGGCGAAAGCCUGAUCCAGCCAUGCCGUGUGCAGGAUGAAGGCCUUCGGGUUGUAAACUGCUUUUGUACGGAACGAAAAGACUCUGGUUAAUACCUGGGGUCCAUGACGGUACCGUAAGAAUAAGCACCGGCUAACUACGUG
rnacentral:rRNA from 1 species